AUAAACUGUGGGUUAUAUUUUCUAGACGAGGUAGAAACCUCGAUGACUGCAUUACUGGUAAAACACAAAGCAGAUUGUCAACAUCAAUGGCAUAGACGGCUUGGGCAUCGUGACUGGUCAGCGAUUGAGAGAAUGUAUAGAGAAGAUCUAGGAACCGGAAUAAGGGUGAGUGAUUGUGGUUUAAGAAUAACAUGUGAAUGUUGCAUGAAAGGUAAAUCAUGUAGAUCUCCCUUUCCAACCGUCUCUGACAGAAAAUCAAACAAAAUUCUUGAUUUAGUGCACACCGACGUAUGGGGGCCAUCGAAAACUGAAACACCCAGCGGUAACCGUUACAUGAUGCACAUUACUGAUGAUUUCAGUAGAUAUACAGUUACAUACUUAAUGAAAAACAAAUCUGAUGCAGUAGAAAAUAUUAAAGAAUAUGUACGAUGGGUAGGAAACAAUUUUGGACGUAAGCCUCGGGUUAUUCGUUCAGAUGGUGGUGGAGAAUUUAAUAAUACAGAGCUACGUAAAUUUUAUAAAGAAGAGGGUAUAAAGCCACAGUACACCACACCAUAUUCACCUCAGUCCAAUGGUGUGGCUGAACGUAAAAAUAGAACUAUCACUGAAAUGGCUACCUGUAUGUUGCUGGAUGCAAACAUAGACAAGCGUUUCUGGGGAGAAGCCGUUCAAACAGCUACCUAUCUUAUAAAUCGGCUUCCGUCGAGAACUGUUCCUAAAACACCUUAUGAAUUGUGGUGGGGUCGAAAGCCAGAUUUGAGCCAUAUUCGCCUUUUUGGAAGUCAAGCGUAUGUACAUAUACCCGAUGUAAAACGAAGCAAGCUCGAUCAUAAAGCCCGAAAACUAACGUUCGUUGGAUAUUCCUUAGAACAUAAAGGAUAUCGUUUUGUUGAUUUAGAAACUGAUGAAAUCACCAUAAGCCGAGAUGUUCGUUUUAUUGAAGAUAAAGAAGAAACUUCGGAAGAAGUUAAUAUUGAAUCAUUGUUGGAGGAACCAUCAGAAACCAGUAAUGAUCAAACGGUUAAGGAUGAUUCUAAUGAUGAAUUCACGGAUGCUGAAACUGAUAUUCAAACAACUAAAGAACAGUUACCACCAGAAAAGAGAAAAGUAAAACUACCUAAACAUUUAAACGAUUAUAUCCUUGAUUUAGCCAUGGGAGUAGCAGCUUGCGCGAAAGAAGAACCAGUUAAUUACCGCGAAGCAAUGAAAGAACCAAAUUGGAAAAAUGCGAUGGAAGAAGAAAUUAACUCUCACAAACAAAACAAUACUUGGGAACUCGUACCAUUUCCAAAGGGUAAAACGGUAAUAGGUUCGAAAUGGGUUUUCAAAAUUAAAAAGAAUCAAGAUGAUGAAAUAGUUAAACAUAAAGCCAGACUGGUCGCGCAAGGCUAUAAACAACAAUAUGGACUGGAUUAUGAAGAAGUGUAUGCACCAGUUACCCGUCACACUACCUUGCGAACUUUUCUCGUAAUUGCUUGGAAGCAAAAGCUAACAGUACGUCAUUAUGAUGUCAAAACCGCAUACCUUAAUGGAAUAUUAGAAGAUGAAGUAUAUAUGCAUCAACCACCUGGGUUUGAAGCUCAAGGACAGGAGGAGCUAGUGUGUCGAUUGAAACGUAGUAUAUAUGGACUACAUCAAUCAGCUCGUUGUUGGCAUAAGACGCUAAAUGAAGUACUUACAAAUUUAGGUUUCAAAUCCUCUUUCGCAGAUCAAUGUUUAUUUGUCAAGUCGAUUCAUGGUGGUCAACAUAUCUUCUUAUUAGUCUAUGUGGACGACAUACUGAUCGCAGCAGCAGACGAAGUAAAGGCCAAGAAGAUAUACGAUCAUUUAAGCAAGAAAUUUGAAAUUAAUUGCUUGGGCGAAAUACGUCACUUUUUAGGUAUGGAAGUGAUAUGUACUGAUGGAAUAUAUGGAAUUCGGCUUAAACAGUUUAUAGAAAAAUUACUAACGGAUCACGGAAUGCAAGAAGCUAAAGUUGCUAGAUCACCAAUGGACCCUGGAUACCUGAAACAAAGUGCCAAUGCAGAGAAUUUCGAAGAUGCUACAAUGUAUCGAAGUCUAGUGGGUGGAUUGCUAUAUCUGUCCGUUAUGACCAGACCAGAUAUUGCGGCGUCAGUAGCUAUACUGGGCAGAAAGUUUUCAUCGCCAUCGCAACAAGAUUGGAUAGCUGCCAAACGCAUACUUCGUUAUCUAAAAGGAACAAAAGAGUAUUUCUUGCAUCUUGGUGGAUUCAAAAACCAAGGCCUGAUCGGAUAUUCCGAUGCCGAUUGGGCAGGCGAUUCAGAAAGUAGACGUUCAACAUCUGGAUUUGUAUUCACGUUUGAAGGUGGUGCAAUAUCAUGGUAUAGCCGUCGUCAAUCGUGUGUGACAUUAUCAACUAUGGAAGCUGAAUAUGUUUCACUUUCGGAAGCAUGCCAAGAAGCAAUGUGGCUAAGGCAGCUGAUUAAAGAUUUUGGAGAAGAUCAAUUGAACGCGACUACAAUCAAAGAAGAUAACCAAGGUUGUAUCGCCUUUGUAAAAACAGACAGAAUAAGUCGGAAAUCGAAGCACAUCGAUACCCGAGAGCGGUUUAUAAGAGAACUUUGUGAGAAGAAGGAAAUUGUUUUGGAAUAUUGCCCUACGACUGUCAUGGUUGCAGAUAUAAUGACUAAACCAUUAGGUCCGCAGAAACAUGACAUGUUUCGUAAGAUGCUGAAGUUAGAAUAACUGAGGAGAGAAAUUCUUCGACAUGAGGAGGAGUGUUGGAAGUCAUGCCGAAGAACCCUGUUCCUAUAAACCCUGUUCCUCUGAACGGUGUUUCCACGCCAUAAUAUGGCUAAGACAUUGAACUGUGUUUUAGCUGUCAUCGAGCCGCGCUGACAGCUUCCGUGUGUGGAUAAAAUGGAUGUGAAUAAAACGUGGAUUUGCGCAGCAGAACAAAUUGAAUGAUAGCAGAGUGGCAACGUUCUAUCCGAGCAACCCCUACAAUCACGAUUAUAUUUUCUUCAUUUCCUCUAACACCCCUCCCACACCCUUGGACACCCCCCAUAACCAGUUAGCUGUUUGUUUACUACUGCGUUCUUUUUUUUCACUAUCACCAAUCCUUCUCCAACUCACGAUCGCGAUCGCGGACCGGUAUGCUGUGAUUCGCUCGCGCCCAUAUGCUCUCCGAUGCGCUCCGCGGAUCGCCUCACGCUCUUGUGUUUUGCUUUUUGGAGAAUCUCGCUCUCUAUGCUUUCAUCCCUCUAGCACAAAACCCUCUCCGGGAUGAAGCUGACCGUGCCCUGACUGACUGCUAUCCCGCACAGCUCUGCCGAGCGCAGUCGCACAUUGAACUUGAACCAGAAAAGAGCUACAGGGGCAUCUCAGGCAUCCAGUAAGAAAGCAACUUCCAACACACAACCCAGCUACUCACCAUGC